rnacentral:sRNA from 12 species
CUAUGAGAAGUAAUGACAUGGAUUACACGCCUGUUCAUAAUUCCAACUUCCUAUGAUUUGUUGUGAUAAAAUACAAUAGUAAUAACAAAUAGCGAUGAUAAGUGUGUGGGAAGCGCUUGAGCGAAGGUUAAAACUAUGGUGUAUAUACUAAGUAUGAACAAGCUAGUCUCC